UUGCACUCUUGGUUAUGCUAUAUAUUUGUGUAGGGUGAAUUUAGUUAACAGUAAAUUUCUGCACUUCUUUGAUAGAGCCUUAAAGAGUUCAUUUGCACUAACCAUUCAGAAAGCAAGAUUCUCCUACACCUACACAUGUUCAAUUCGCGUCAGAUUAUUUAAGGCUUUUCACCAAUAAACCUCUUAGUCUUGUACAUAUGUGGCAAAUUUAUAUAUUUAUCUUCUUGUUUGACCUAAGUUUGAAGACUUCUGUAUAUAUUACAUUCUGUGUGUCUUCUGAUUUUUAUUUUUUAUUUUUUUUUUAACGCUAUGGAUAUGUCAUCCAGCAGAAAUACACCUUAUUAUCGCAAUAUCUAAUUUUGCCGUUGUUAAACUUGCUAGAAUAAUUAUUACAAAAAUGUGUACAUUUGUUUUAAUCCUUGCUGACUUUACAAUGGGCCAAUAUUUAUCUACAUAACAAUAAUAGUUUGUGUCUGGAGUUAGCAUUCAGAAAAAUUUAAUGGGUGUUGUUUUGUUUUUUUAUUUAUAUGCUUUUUGUCUUAAACAUUUACAUUAACAUUGUUAUAAAAAUUCACACUACCAGCUGCGAAUUCAUUUUUUUGUUUGUUGUUAAACUCAAAUUAUCGCCAAGCUUUCUACAAUGUCAAAAAAAAUCUCAGCGUUGGUCACUUAAAUGGGCCACGGUUUUAUAUCUUAUUUAACGUAUUAUCUCAGUCGCACAAUAGAACAUUUCUGGAUAAUCUAUUCUCCUCUCCAAAAAAAAAAAAAGAAGAAGAUUGCAAUAUUUUUGGGGUAGACCCCAACGCGUUUUACAUAUUAAACUCCUUUGUAACAAGUUUGCCAUAUUUAAUGCAGAAAAUGCAAUUGAAAGGGUUUCUCAAACUUUAACUACAAAAAUCUGUUACGGGUUUUAUGUACAAUGUAAGCUUCGCAAUAAAAAAGUAUAGGGCAGUGUAAGAUGGAGUAACAACAGAGGAUAAGAUUUCGCUAUUGACAUAACUGUCAUGACAUCAUCUUUCUGCGCUACAUAUUCAGUAAUGUCCUCCUCACUACAAAAAUAUGUGGUAGCUGUUCAGAAUCAAAGGAAGCAUCCUUGUCUAAAAGGAAUUGUGUGCUGAUACACAAAAAAAUGAUUCUGGAAAAACCUAAAGGAUCAAUUCUCUUGGAAGACGAUUCAUUACACGCAACUACAGCUUUAAGUACAUUUUACAUACCUGUGUUAUUUUUAAUAUCUCAAGAAUUUGUUUUCAAUAACAUAUUACAACAUGUAUUUUAGAAUUUAAAAAAAAGUGAUUUUCUGAAUUCUCCAGAUCAGCUAGUAUUCCUGCUCAGCAAAUUUGGCCUAACAUUUGCACUUGCUUUGUCAAAUCAAAAAUCCUAUUUUUUUUCUUUUUUAAAUAACUUUUUUUUUUUUUAUCUAAUGACCUUUUUUUGGUAACUAUAGAGAGCUAUGUCCUGGGCAAGAUCUCCCUGUGAAUCCCCUUCUGAGGUACCACUAGUUAUUGCUUAGUAUAUGACAUUAUUAAAAAAAAAAAAAAAAAGCUACAAGGAACUUAAUAUUGGGUCCACUCACACUUCACUCAUGUAAAAAAAACAAAAACGAAAUGGGAGCAUGGCCGCCUAUUAUCUGUGAUGCCGGGGUUAUAGUGUGCACAUGGUAAUCUUACUGCAUGUUACUCAUAAACCACAUUUCUGGAUUUAAUCAUAUUGCAUCUCCAAUACUGGCUGAGGAUAAUAGGAAUUAUACUUGUUCUGAUAUGGCGCCACAUUCUGGUCACUGCUGAUAGUGCAUGCUGUACGCUUGCAAGCUAUAGUAUGAUAAUGCAUGCCAUAGUCCUUCAUAAUAAACAGUAUAUCUGUAGCAGACAUGUAACUCAAAUCUAAGUAUUCCACAGUGCUUAGAAUAUUAUUCUUCAAGUGUUCUCAUGCUUAAAAAAAAAACCUUUUAACACAUGACUUAUUCCUUGUUAAUGCCAGUUUAGCAAACACACUUUCAUAAUUUAAUUUCCAUAUUCAUAGUUGUAUGAAAUUUUUUUAAAAUUACACAACUUCUGUUUUAUCAUGAUGUCAUAAUUAAGCAGGCUAAAUGUUUAUAUUACACAUAUAUUCUAACCAGGGUCGGAUAAACAUAGAGACUAAAGGAGCUGAAGCUCCAGGCCCAUGCAAAUGAAAGAAACCCACUGUUUAAAAAAAAAAUAAUAAUAAUUUUUUUUUUUUUUUUUUUUACUACUUUUCUCACACUCUUUCUUUGUGCAGAGGGAAUUAAAUCUGGGAACAUAGGAGGGAUGCAGAGGAAUAAAACUUGUGUGAACUUGCUGGCCAUAAAUUAGUAAAGAUAAAGCGGGUUCUGCCCUUGCUGCUUCUGUCUCUCUAACAGUGACAUGUACCCUUAAUUCUACACUCACUACAUCCACCUUUUUCUCUGUCCCAGACUGCAUACCAGAAGUUUCUGCUUGCUAGUAAGAAAGGAAGGAGAGAAGUGGAAAGUGUGUGAUGGGGUACACCGGGGAACUGUCCUCAGAAAGCGUAGAGGGCGUGCAUCAGGGUGCUGAAACAGCGCUGUCUGCCUUAGUUGGCUGGUCUGUGUGAUUGGCAGGCAGCCAGGCUGGCCUUCAAGUUUUUCAGACAGACCUGAUUCUUUUUUUUUUAGGUGGGUCCAACCCUUUGGGCAGUGCCUUGACAUGAUUCACAUCACUGGCCCACGUCUAUUUACUAUUUACUGCGCUCACUGACAUCCCGCUUCACAGGACUCCGAUGAUGGGGGGUAUGGAUUUGGUUGAGAGAUGAAAGCGAGAGAUUAGCAUAGGGUAUGUGUAUUCUUAUAAAUGCAUCCAGUGAGUUUCCCUCUAGCACCACCUCCACCAGAUACAAGACACUCGGGUGGUAUAACUGUUUAGUGCUCUUUGUCAAUAAGAUUUUGUAAUUAGGCCCAUCAUAAUUGUCAGCACCAGGCCCAAUGGGUUUUUUAUCCGACCCUGAUUCUAACUAAUAGGUUUUCUAAAUUCUGCGGUGAGUUAUGGCAUUGUAUAUCAGUUGUAUAAUAUUAAGUUAGCAUCCUAUAAAAACAUGUAUUAGACAGCCUCUCUCUCUCUCUCUCUCCAUCAGUAUGCUUUUAUAUGUAUGUGAAAUUUGUUGUAUCUGCAAUAAAUAUAUCUUUUUUA